ACUUCCAAAGUUUGCAUUUUUCAGGGAACCUAUCAAUUGCCACUCAACAACAUUAUUGAAGAAAAUCUAGGAUUCGACAGGGACACUUAAGUCAAGGAGAAAAUGAGGAACACACCUGACUCCAUUUUGAAAGCUCUACCCUGAAGUGGACAGCUGCAGCAUUACAACCCCUUUCCAGAACAAUCCUGAAAGAUACAGGUGAAGGAAAAUCAUCACAGUGGGCAGAACUUUGGAAGAUAUUGCCUUUCAAAGAAAACCACAUAGAACCAGCCCAAAGCACCUGUCUUCACUCCUCUAGACAAUAAACUCGCUGGUUGUCAUGCUACAUUCGGCCUCUAGGGGAGCUCAUCUCUGCAGUUGAAUUUGGGAUUGAGGCUGGGCCUCUUCUACCUUGACAUAGAGCUCAGCCUCCAAAGUCUAAGUCUCUUCUUUAUCCUCCAGCUUUAUUUAGAAAGAUGAGCUUUGAGCAGUGGUGGCACAUGCCUUUAAUCCCAGCACUCCGGAGGCAGAGGCAGGCGGAUUUCUGAGUUUGAGGCCAGCCGGGUCUACAGAGUGAGUUCCAGGACAGCCAGGGCUAUACAGAGAAACCCUGUAUGGAAAAUGAGAAAAAAAAAAAAAAAAAAAGAAAGAUGAUCUUUGAGACUCUCAUUUCCUCUUUUCCAGGCAUAUAUGAGCAGUUUCUUUGGGGCAAAACCACUGCAUUCAGUUACAAAACUACAGUUGUUACAAAACAGGAGAACUCCAUGUCUUACACCAGAAUCCAAGCAAUAACAGAGACCCCGGACUUAGGAAAAAAGCCUUAAGCGGCUGUGGUUGUGCUGACCUGCAGUCCCAGCGCUGGGGACAGGCGAGCAGGAAGAACAUGAGUGUGAGCCCAGCCUGGGCUGGGGAAGUGGCUCCUGAGGAAGAGCACUUACUGUUCAAACAGGAGGACGCAUGGCCAUAAUCCCUGUGCCCAGGUAAAAAGCCCAGCGCGUCUGUGCUCUCUGUAAGCCUGCCUUUCUGUAGCUCAACAGGCAAUGUCACCAUCCCUCCACAUGCAAUGUCACACAUAUUGUGCACACACUCUUCACCCCCUCCCCCAACCCCUGACUGUCUUCCCUCCAUCUUUACAAAUUCUGUUCUGUAUACUUUGUGUAAACAACCCCAAGCAGUGCACACCUUCUGGGCCUGGCUUCUUUCACAUAGUCUAGGGAGCAUGCCAAGUUCUGACCACUUAGCACUCUGUUCCUUUUUAUAACAGAACCAUGUCCCAUUGUAGCCUGACUUUAGGUGAAUCUGCCUUCCCAAGGGGGGGCUGUCUCUUGGCCAGGUGAUUGACAGACCCAACUAAACUAAAUCUCUUCAAAGAGAGAAGGGAAGACAAUGAUAUAAAUGUUCUAUUUGGAGCACCUAGAAUGCCCUUUCUCUUCCCAAGUCCAGGGAUAGUAUAUUCUUUGCACUGGGCCUUAAGUAAUGGCAAUCCAGAUGUUUACCAGGAAAUGGAGGUGGGGACUUCAAAGGAAAGUUGCAGCAAAGGAGCCUCACCUUGCACUGAAUCAUCUCCAAAGCUGGUAAUAGAACAGAACGGCUGAGACUGUGCAGUGGUUACAAUGUUGCAGGUUCAGGGUUAUUGUAAUUUAUCUUAGGAUUUAUUUACCACCCUUAAUGGCCAUUCCUUGGCUACUUCUCUUCUGAUGUAACAUCCUGUGACUAACAGAAUCUUUAGGACUGCAUUUUAACACCCUAGCUUCCUCCUACCAGAAGCCCGUGAGUCAUCAGAUGCCACCUGGAGCCUAUAGCAGAGGUGUCCUGAACCCCUUUACCUGCCGUUUCCACUAGUGUGCUUGAAAAGUACCUUGAUUUAGAACUUUCUUUGUUGUUACUAUAAAACCUUCAUCACAUUGAUACAUGGAACUUGAGGUUGUUUGGUUUCAGACUCUGGAUACUAGGGACUGAAGUUCAUAUUUUACAUAUUAAAGCAGACCUGGCCUCUACAUUAUCCCAGCAUCCCUCAGUCCUUACCUGGCAUUCCCUAUCUCCAACCCUGAAUCUUCCAGCCCAGAGGCUAAGCUGCCCUUCCUGAGAGCCUCUUCCCUAUAUAAUCCAGAUGGUAUGGUCUCUCCUCCCCCUCCUUCGCUCUCUCCUACUCUCCUUCUAGCUCUUCUUUUCACUAUCCUUGUGUUUCCAAUUUCCUUGCUCUCUCUUUCUCUCUUUCUCUCUUUCUCUUUCUCUCUCUCUCUCUCUCUCUCUCUCUCUCUCUCUCUCUCUCUCUCAGCAACUUCUUUGGCCUUGGUCUUUGGGGCCAGUGAACCUGCCUGAGAGUACCUUUUGAAUAAUCUGCAUACACACACACACACACACACACACACACACACACACACUCACACACAUAUCUAUCUAUCUAUCUAUCUAUCUAUCUAUCUAUCUAUCUAUCUAUCUAUCUAUCUAUCAUCUAUCUAUCUAUCGAUAUAAAUAGAGAUAGAUAUAGGCACAGACACAGAUACAGAUAUAGAUAGUUUCUUUCAACACUGGCAGAGAAAUAACUUAUCAGAUUUAACCGAAGGCUUUCCUCCGGAUCACCCUCAUUUAUAUUUGGCUUCAGGAUGAACUCUCUUUCAUCCCCUUUGAGGUGAGAGCUGAAUCUUUGUGUGAACAGCUUCAAAGCUUCCAUAAUCAUUAAGACCACUGUAACAGGUAUGACUGGAAGCUCACCAGAGAUGGCCAUUCACGCAUUUACACUGAGUAUAAAUCCAAUUGAAAGUCUUUAUUCCAGACAUAUGGGACCGCACCCAAGUAUUGGGUACCUAGCUGUGGCACUGAGUGUCUAGAAUAUAGAGCUUUUAAAGUCUGAAAAAACAUCCUGUCUUCUUAGGCACAGGGACAUGGAAGAAGUAAGCAGUUUGAAGCAAGGGAUCUUAAGGGGAGCUUAGCCAGUGGGGAGGUGGGGGUGAAACUAAGGAGGGUGAGAAGGUUGUUUCACAUAAACCUGUAGUUUUACUGAAGGCUUGGAUAAGUGACCUAGGACAUCCAGAACGUUGGUUCCUAGAAUAAAGCAAGGUAGUUUUCAAUGGAUUCUCCAUGAAGGAGAUCAGAUUCUGGUUAAACCUGGAAAUGGCCUUACCGAGGGCACAAGAUGGACGGACCUCAGCACUGUCUUGCCUGAUCACACAGAUGGAUAGAGAUACAGAGCAAGGGUUUUCAGAACUAAAAUGGACUGACAUUUGUAAAGCUCUAACUCACAUAAAUAACAAGAUAAAGAGUACGUGAGAAUGGCCAUGAGGCUGUGAAGGGAAGGAUCUAGUGCUUAUGAUUGGCCAGGACCCAGCACCAAGUACCCGCACAUUAUUCACAUAAAAGGAUCCUACAAAGAAGCUUCCCCAUGGCUGCGGAACCUCAGUCUGAUACACACUGUCAGGUAACUUGGGGAGAAGAAGUUCACUACCACAAUUUAGAGCCAAAUUCAAAACAAGCUUAAUUUUUAUUGGGUGCAUAUGAGAACUGGGUAGUGACAGUUAUGCUUU
rnacentral:lncRNA from 1 species